rnacentral:rRNA from 1 species
AUUGAACGCUGGCGGCAGGCCUAACACAUGCAAGUCGAACGGUAACAGGAAGCAGCUUGCUGCUUCGCUGACGAGUGGCGGACGGGUGAGUAAUGUCUGGGAAACUGCCUGAUGGAGGGGGAUAACUACUGGAAACGGUAGCUAAUACCGCAUAAUGUCGCAAGACCAAAGAGGGGGACCUUCGGGCCUCCUGCCAUCGGAUGUGCCCAGAUGGGAUUAGCUAGUAGGUGGGGUAACGGCUCACCUAGGCGACGAUCCCUAGCUGGUCUGAGAGGAUGACCAGCCACACUGGAACUGAGACACGGUCCAGACUCCUACGGGAGGCAGCAGGGGGGAAUAUUGCACAAUGGGCGCAAGCCUGAUGCAGCCAUGCCGCGUGUAUGAAGAAGGCCUUCGGGUUGUAAAGUACUUUCAGCGGGGAGGAAGGCGAUAAGGUUAAUAACCUUGUCGAUUGACGUUAUCCGCAGAAGAAGCACCGGCUAACUCCGUGCCAGCCGCCGCCGUAA